UGGUGCUUAAGGGUGAAAAUAGGUCAGAUACUAAUAUAUUUAUAUUUAUAUAAAUUAUAUUUAAUGAAUACUGAUAUAUAUAUUGAUAUUGAUUGGAUAUAAAAAUUUAUAUCUAUAUUUAUUUUAAACAGAUAAGGAUAUGAAUCGGAUAUCGAAAAUAUAGAUAUAAGUUAGAUGAAUAAAUUUUAUGACCAUAAAAUCAAAAAUAUUAUUAAGUGUGUUGCGGCCAACUCUCCGUCGCCUGU
rnacentral:lncRNA from 1 species